GAGAGGGAGACUUCUUCCUCCUCCUCCUCCCCACCUCCCUAGUUAAGGCGGCUUUGGGUGCGAGACUGUCGCUCCGUGGCCCGCGGCGGGUGGGAGAGGCGCACACCGCACGCGCGCACCGCACGCGCCCAGCCCGGGGAAGGGAGAGCGCGCGCCGCUGGCUGGGGAGGGAAAAAGGCCAGGAGGGAGGCGGCGGCGGCCGAGGGGAGGCGCUGUCCGAGGUGCUGAAGCGAACGCGUCGCCUCCCCUUCGCCCGCGGUGCCCCCCGAGCUGGGCUCCCCGAACGCGGCGCGGCGCCUGGGCGGCAGCAGAGGUAUCCCAAGUCCAGCAGGCAGGCGGGCGAGGGCAGGCAGGAGGCGACGCUUCACGCCCCGCCAAGUCCAUUCCCUUCCCUCUUCCUCUUCCUCUUCUUCCUCCUCCUCACACCCCUCUUGGGUUACCCGGGCAGCCCCUCCAAAGUGCAGCCGCUCAGACUAUGGAGCAGGAGCAAUAUUUGCCCGAGCUGAUGGCCGAGAAAGAUAGCCUGGAUCCUUCCUUUGUUCACGCGAUGCGCCUUUUGGCUGAAGAAAUUGAAAAGUUCCAGAGUUCUGAGGAAAAGAAGGACGAUGAAGAAAAGAAAUAUCUUGAUGUCAUCAGCAACAAAAAUAUAAAGCUGUCUGAAAGAGUAUUGAUUCCUGUCAAACAGUAUCCAAAGUUUAACUUUGUGGGCAAACUGCUGGGUCCAAGAGGAAAUUCUUUGAAAAGGUUACAAGAAGAAACAGGUGCAAAAAUGUCGAUCCUUGGUAAAGGUUCAAUGAGGGACAAAGCCAAGGAAGAAGAACUAAGGAAGAGUGGGGAAGCCAAAUAUGGACACUUGAGUGAUGAACUUCAUGUAUUAAUUGAAGUAUUUGCCCCACCCGGGGAAGCUUAUUCACGGAUGAGUCAUGCCUUGGAAGAAAUCAAAAAAUUCCUUGUUCCAGAUUAUAAUGAUGAAAUCCGCCAGGAGCAACUGAGAGAAUUAUCAUAUUUAAAUGGUUCAGAGGAUUCAGCUCGUGGACGAAGCAUUAGAGGAAGAGGGAUCCGAGUUCCCCCUGCAACACCUUCAAGGGGAUGUGGAAGUGCAAUCCCCCCUACACCACCUGGACGAGGUGCUCAAGCGCCAAGAGGAGCUCCAGUGACACGUGGAGCGCUUGCGGUCCCUCCUGUAGCCAGGGGUGUUCCUACCACUCGAGCACGAGGAAUUCCACCUGUACCAGGUUACAGGCCACCCCCUCCCCCAGCACAUGAACCCUAUGAGGAAUAUGGAUACGAUGAUGGAUAUGGGGGUGAAUAUGAUGAACCAAGUUAUGAGGCUUAUGAUAAUAGCUAUGCCACACAAACACAGAGUCUGCCCGAGUAUUAUGACUAUGGUCACGGAACAAGCGAAGAUGCUUAUGACAGUUAUGCACAAGAAGAGUGGGCCAUAAGCCGUCCCAGCCUAAAGGCACCACCUCCCAGGUCAACCAGAGGGGGUUACAGGGAACACCCCUAUGGUAGAUAUUGAAGGUCCUCCUCAUCUGUGACCUCAGCUUAAAGACAAUAAUAACCCGUGGUCUCCGCAUAAACGGCAACACGACAAGGAUCCAAACACAAUGGGCAGCAAAUCAGAAGACUCUAAAGUAACUUCCUGGUAAGCAAAAAUGCAGUCCAUUACUGGAUAGGAGUGGGGGGCAUAAUUUCUUUUCCUCAAUGUUUGGAUAUUCUUAUUCCAUGGAAUGAAUGGCUUAUAAAGGACCAUUUCUGUUCAUUCAGAUGAUGGUCACAGACUUCAGUGCCUACAUAGAAGUAAGCCCCAAUUGACCAUGCUGGGAUUUUGUGUCUGAGCAAAGAUGAUCGGGAUCAUGCUGCAGAGGUGAUGUCAUACAUACAAUGCUGAUGACAUCCAAUAGGUGACAGAAUACAUUUCUGUUUGAAAAUAAAGGGCUAUGUUACGGGGGAAAAGAUGUAUAAACAAACUGGGUGUUUUUAUGAAUGCUUGCCAGUUUAUUAAGCAGAUUCUGGUGUCUGACAAUUCUUAUGGUAGCAAUGAACGUGACAUAUUGAGUCGUUUUUCUUUCAAAGGCAGGAGCUCUUCUUACGAAAAUCAACAUAUAAAUUUUGUAAACAAACUAUCCACGGGGAGCAGAAAGGCAUUAAAUGGGCAAUUUGCAUUUCAAAACACAGGUGAAGCAUCAAAUUGGCAUGCUACCAGUUUCUAUAAAGUUUGUGCCAGGAGAACUGAUUACUCACAACCCUUGCUGACAGACAUUGCAUACUGAUAUAACUUUUUGUACAUGUGUUCCUCUACAGGAUCAUUAUGGCUUCCAGUGAAUAGCUUGGGUUUUGGAAUGGACUGUGUGUGUUCCACAAAAAGCAGAUAUGUGAUUUACGACAGCCCAAGGAACAAAGCAAGGUACAGAGCACUUCAUUAUAUGCACGCCUGGAAACCCUUAAAUGGAUGAGGCAGCUAUUUGCAUCUGAUAGGAGCUAAGUGGGACAUUAAAUUAAUGCCAAACAAGCUAGUGACAACUGUAAGCCAGAGAGAAAUGCCAUGGCCAGCAAAUCAAAACACUGUGUUUGAAAAGGUCAAGACAAUAUUUGCCUCCUUAGCAUUCCGAGGAGGGCUUACCAGAACAUUUUGCCAUCUUUCUGUCUCCCUUGAAGACGGUGGGGGAGGAUCAUGACAAAGACUGUUGACGAAGUGAGGAGGAAAGAAAGUACGAGAAAUAAAUCUUUUGGAAGCAGUCAACAAAUGACGUCUGUGUGAAUCAUUCUUACUUGGGAAGGCUGCUGAAGUGACUAGGACCACAUUAGAUAUACUGCAUGAAGUGUCUGUAUCCAGGAUGUCAUAGGAACAUUUUCAAUAAUAUUGGUCCAGUUGGAUCAUCUUGAUUCAAAGCGAUUUCCUACUAAAUGGAGAGAAGCUUUCAGUCAAACAGAUCACAGGCCUUAGUCACCCAGUAUUAUUUCACAUUAAUCACUGCACUGAGGGACGUUGAUGUUAUUUGACUCCAGUAGUAUUUAUACUGACAGAUGAUUUAAAAUGAGGGGGGAAAUAUUUAAAAAGCUUUCAAGGAGUUCAUGUUGACAUGUACUGUCUGCAUGUGCACACAUGCGCAAGAGCACAUGCAUACUUGAGUGCCUGGUGCUGUAGACUCCUAGAUGCUGUCACCUGUAUAUGAGCUUCCUGAGGCAUCUAAGCCAUGCCAGAUGGACCAGAGAGCUCUUCAUGUGAUACAGGUAAAACUUUGUAGGUUCUUAGUAGUGGCCUAAGUCCUGCUCCAUGUAUUAGCGUAUCUGUUACAAAA